rnacentral:rRNA from 1 species
CUAUGCGCCUUGCCAGCCCGCUCAGUCAGAGUUUGAUCCUGGCUCAGAUUGAACGCUGGCGGCAAGCCUAACACAUGCAAGUCGAGCGGCAGCGAAAGAAAGCUUGCUUUCUUGUCGGCGAGCGGCAAACGGGUGAGUAAUAUCUGGGGGAUCUGCCAAAAGAGGGGGAUAACUACUAGAAAUGGUAGCUAAUACCGCAUAAAGUUGAAACCAAGUGGGGACCUUUUAUAGGCCUCAUGCUUUGGAUGAACCCAGACGAGAUUAGCUUGUUGGUAAGGUAAAAGCUUACCAAGGCAACGAUCUCUAGCUGGUCUGAGAGGAUAACCAGCCACACUGGAACUGAGACACGGUCCAG